UCCCAUUGAUGAAACAUUCACAUGUCUUAUCUCCUGUUCUAGUCUCUGGGGACAAGCUGGGGGAGAUGAGGGACGUUUGUUCCAGAAGGAACUGUCUGAGAGAA